UAGACACUAUAAGAAUCUCCAUGCCUCUGAAUCCUCAAUUUUGAACCUAUAUUCGAGAACGCCAUAAGCAAUCCCACCGCUGCAGCGAGAAAGAACAGAGAGAUGGGAAGCUUCCGCCGCCAUUGUUGGAACCGGGCCGCCAUGAAGGGGGAAAUGUUCCUGCGUGCUUUCAUCGUCCGGUUCACUCAAUAGACGGUGAGAUCUCCCCUCCGUGCUCCGUCGUGUUUUUCACUUUUGCGCGCGCGGAACGGGCGUCCUAGGCGCCGUCGGGGCCCCGCCACCAGGCUGGCGCGUGCGUGCCAGUUCCGUGAGGUAGAAGAUGACUUGAUGGCCGUCGAUCUAGCCUUGUACGGUAGAUAGUAGAUGUACUUAGUGUUUCAAUCAGAUUGAUGUGCAAUCGAUGAUGCCAGAUCGUACGCGUAAGAUUAGAGCUCGGUCAUUUAAAACCUAGGUCGUCGAUCUAGGCACCAACAGAUGGGAUUGACUUCAACUCGUAAUGUUUCGCCAAUCUAAUUCGGGCCCUUGGAUUCCGAUCGGGCGGCAUGGGAGUCUGGGUGGGCUUCGAUCUAAUCUGGCGCGUAGAAGUUUGAUCGAACGGCUAUGAUUCAUGCAUACCUCUUCGGUCAUAGAUAUUUGCAAAAGAGACCCAGUAUUUUUAGUUUAUCAACCCGCAGUCCUAAGCUAUAGAAAGAUCAUCACUGUCAGGUCUUGGAAUUAACAAAACAGACCCUGAGCUUCUCUAGAAUUGUAGCCGGAGCCCAGAGAUUAAAUAAAACGAGUAUAUUAAUAUAGAAAAUGGUUUUUAGUAUAAAAUAAUUCCAGAAACUUGUUUAACUCAUAUUUAAUUCAUUAUAACACCUUUUUGAUCCAUUCCAGUUGCAUUAAAUUCGUAAUAAUAUUUAUUUAUCAUCUGGUAACCCUGCUUUGUCAUGAAAUAUAGGUUAAAAGUAUGCACUUAAUUUAUUCCAUAUCUAAUAUUUAAAACUUCGGAAAAUCAUAACUCUUUAAUCGUAACUCCGAAUUGAGUGAUUCUCGAACCUAGGAUCUCGUUACGAUGCGUAGAUCAUUACUAUUCAAUAUGUUCUCUUGAUUAGUGUGAUGUUAACUUUGCCUAUACCAUGUUUGUUUGUAUUGCUACGAGUAGCAGCAAGGUUACGAGUCAGUUGAAGACCAAGUUGGUACCUAGGAAUCUCGAGUAUCAGGCAAGUUGUGCCCUUGAUCAUUUUUCUCUUUACCUAAUAAUGUUCUUGUUAAUCGUUGUGACAUGCUCAGGUUAAUUUGAUAGGACCUAAUAGGUUUUCCCUAGUAUUGUUUAUCCCACACCUUGCAAACAUAUGAACUAUAGGGUAUAUUUGCUAUUGCUCUACCUAGUUUUGGGAAAUUAAUGUUAUAUUAUGAUCAUGUUCCAAUUAUACUAUUGUUUUAAUUAUUAUUCAUGACAAAAUCAUUGUGUUAAUUAGAACAUGAAGAACCACCCGGGAAAACAGUGCUGCCACCCGGGUGGAAUGGGAUGCCCUUAGCCAAGUAAUUAGAAAAGGUACGGAGAGAUUACCUUACCCGAAAGGGGCAAGAAGGGUGGCGUUGUUGUAGAGUACAGGGAGGUUCUCAGGUCGAACUGCUGCGAUGGCAGUUCGAACGAGGGAUUCCUAUGCUUCCUUCUUCCUGAAACUGUAGUGCGUAUUCUCGAACUAGUGGAAUUUUGGAAAUGCCUUGUAGUGCUACCCUGCCUCGCUUCCUCGGUAGAGGUGUAUGGGGUCCGUACAACCCCGUGGUAUAUGGGUAACACGACUUGUGGAUAAAGAUGUGCAAACUCUGCAGAGUGUAAAACUGGUAUAUCAGUCGUGCUCACUGUCAAGAGCGGCUCAGACUCUCACAUGAUUAAAUUAUGGAAUUAAAUAUAAUAUAUCAUUUGCAUUGCAUUGUGGGUGUUAUUAUCAAUUGUGGUCUCUUAUUUAAUUGGGUUGGUAUCUACUUAUACUUAGUAACUUCUAAUAAAAUUUUGACCAACUUUAAAAGCGCUCAGCUUUAACCAUCUCCUUUGGUAAGCCUUACACUUCACAUGAGCUCCCACCUUUGGUGAGCUCGUGCACAUUAUUCCCCACAACUUGUUGAGUGAUGAACGUAUGUGAGCUCACCCUUGUUGUACUCACAUCCGACGAGGUCAAGAGGUACCGCAAGAUGAGGAGCAUGAAGGAUGUCGCGAUGAGUUCGUGAGAGGUCUAGGUCGUUGUCUCCCAGUCAACUAUGGUUGCUGGAUCGUUGUCUUUGUAUAAUCGUAUGAUGUAAUUAUUUAUCUAUUUUGUACAGAACUCUGUUAUAUAUUAAUGAUGUGACAUUCAUUUCUAUACCAUGAGUCAUCAUAUGUGUGAGACUUGAUCCUAGCACACAUGUGAGUCACGCCCGGGUUUGGCCCCCUAAAUCUGUGACAAACCCCCUCCCCCUACUCACCUCAUUUCCCCAUAGUGCCCAGCUAACCCCUCUCCCAUGUGCUCAUCGUGCAUCGCCGAAGUUCGCUGAGGAGCGCCGCCGUUCGCACGUUCGUCGAGCCUCGGGGCCACCACGUCCGUCGUCCGUGUGCUUGCCGCGCCCGGAGCGCCACCGUUCUCUCCAUCGAGUUGCUCGACCGAGCUCCACCGUGGGUGAGAACUUUCGUUCCUCUCUCCCUCACCAGUCCUCCCUCCCUUCUUUGUCAUCGCCGAUGUGUGCCUAGGGCCGUGUUGCGCCGAGGAGGCAAGCUCCCCGAGCAAUCACCGCCGGCCGACCUACCCUCGGCCUCGCCUAUUGCUGAUUCCGGCUAUGGCACUCCGUACCAUGCACGGGCAGGAGGAAGAUGAAGGUCCCGACACCUGUGGCCCUCGGGUUAGCCUCUCUCACGUCGCCUCCCUCUUUCCCCCUCCGGGUCGCUGACGAGCGGACCCCACCCACCAGGACGCGCUCGCACCCCACACACCACGCUGACCGGUGGGGCCCCUUGGCCCCACACGUCAGCACUGCGCGCUGCGCCUCGCGCCCCCUGCACGUCGUUGUCCCAUGGGCUCCACGCGUCAGUGUCUCGACCCGCCCUGAGCCCCAUCUGUCAGGCGUCCACGCCGAUCCCUUGCCCGAGCCACUGACCCCAUUUGCGCCUUGCCCAAGCCCGGCCGGUCAGCCCGCCCCGCCUCAGCACCGCUAACGCCCCUGGCCCGCCUGUCAGUCCACGCUCGCGAGGGCGCGCUCACGCUUGGGAUUGAUCUCGACCAUCGAUCCGUGAUCGGAUGGCUGAGAAUACCCCGUACCCCUUCACAUGGUCUUUUUGUUAAAGAGACCCUCGGCUUUUUAGAUAAAAUAACCCGCUGUCCCUGGUUUUUGCAGCCGAGCCCCUAGUUUCUUGCAGAGAAGCCCCUAGACUUUAUUUUUAUCACAGGAAUGGGUCUAAUUUUUUAUUUUGAAUUCCAAAACUUGUUUAUUUCAUAUCUUUUUCAUAUGAACUCCAAAUUGGGUGGUUCAAGUUGCAAAAUGUUCAUAAGAUUAUUCUCUAUCUGGUUAAAUUACAAUUUCUCACUGUCUGUGUGUAUUAAUUUUAUGUCUAGGCUAUAGGUGCAUUUAAAGUAAUGGCUUAUUAUUUAAGGGGAAAUGAAAAGGAAAACACUAAUGACAAAUAAGUAAUUAACUUUAUGAGGUUAAUAUCAUGUAAUGUAUGAACCCAUCCCUAGUAUAAUUUUAAUAAUUUAUUAGGAUAAAUGAAGUUAGGUUAUGUGAUCCCUGAGGUAGGCAGCACUUAGAGAACCACAAAACCCUAGGUGUAAUUGUCUACCUUAUAACAUAGAUUUCACUCUUAUGUUUAUACUUUUCUUGUGAAUAUGUGUUCACUUGAUUGCACAUGUUUGGUGUACUAUUCCUUUAUCAUUUUCCAAUUGUGUUGGAUGCAUGAUUGCUUUACGUAGACAACGAGCAGUCCGUGGUUCCUGAGUGUGUUGUCGGAGACUUCUCUAAGCAGCAACCUGGUGAAGGCAAGUGUCCUCUGACCCAUUAUGUCCUACUUACUUUCUAAUUCAUUGUCCUACAUUACUUAACUAACACCUAAGGAUUGACUAGUUUGUAAUUUACUUGUCCUUGAUUACCUUUUGGGUUAUUAUGGUUAGCUUCAUGCUAUUGCUUUACUUUAAUCAACGAACAGGAUGAGAAUAUUUAUGAUACGAUGAUGUUAUCUUGAUAAUGAUGAUGAACUGUGAUACUAUAGGUGACUUAGGUUGUUUCCUGAGUACCUCUUCGUAAGGACCUAUUCGUUGAGAGACCACCCGGGAUAUCAAUACAACCAUGAGGAUGGAAUGGGACGUCCUUAGCUAAUUAAUUAGAGGAACUUGAGGUGUAGUUGGAUUCAUUGUAGGGUCGUUAAUGGGGUCUGGGCACAGUACUUGCUCUGCCAAGGCUGGUUGCCGAGGUUCUUUCGAUUUGGUUUUGUUAGUCACCCUUCCUGUGGGGAGAAGUACUGUGUUUAUCAAACUGGAGAAACCUAACAGGCGGCUAUGACCUCUAGGGAACCUUUGUAAAGGCUACGUAGUGAAUCCCUGGCCAUUCACCUCGGUAGUGAAGAUUGGGUCUAAACAACCGAGGCUAGGAAGGGAUCACGACUCGUGGGUACAGUGUGCAACCACUACAGAGUGUUAGAAACUGGUAUAUCUGUUGUGCUCACGGUUAAGAGCAGCCUCGGGAUCCUCUUUGAUUACAAUAACUCUGGAUACUUUAUGAUGAUGAUUACUGGUGAUGAUUAUAACUAUGGUCUCUGAUAUUUUCUCUUAGAGGGAGUACUUUUGGGUAAUAACAUGGGUUUAUUACUAAAACUUGGCUUUUCUACUAGUAAUAAAUACCUGGCCAACUAAAAGCAACUUCUUUAAGCUUAACUCCACAUAUUGCUAGUCCACUUUAGCCAAAUGGGACAUUUGCUGAGUACGUUGAUGUGUACUCACCCUUCCUUUAACCCCCCUCCCAACCCUAGGUUGUCCCCAUUGCAAUCAGUGCUCAGGAGGAGAUGAAGGCAACAUGGAGGACUUUCAGGAGUUUCAGGACUAUGAUGAGUUCUAGUCGUGUUUAGUGGCAAACCCAUAGUCAGCUGCUUGUGAAGGCCUUAUCUUCUACGUGUCGUAUCCGCACUUUGAUUACGUUAAUGACUAUGUUAAGUUAAUGACUCUGUGGAUGUCCUGGACAUCUUGAUGUAAUAAAGUAUUAUUUCUGCUAUUAUUUUGAACAAUGUGUGAUGAUGUCCAACUAUGUAAUCGCGGUGUACGUGAUUUUCUGAUCCUGGCACGUACAUAGUUCGCAUUCGGUUUGCUUUCCUGAACCAGGUGUGACAUAAGUGGUAUCAAAGCCUUGCUGACUGUAGGACCGCUAACCUAGACUAGAAUAGUCGCUUUAAGGACUAUGGAACCUUAUUCUCACCUUGACCUUUGGUGUCACUUCAAAAGUUGGUCAUCUCGACCAAUUCUAUGUUGUAUUUCUAUUUAUAUACUCAUCUUAUAAAAGUUUUAUCUCACUUUGCUUUUGGUUUACUCGCUGGUCAUAUAGUUCUAUUCUCACUCUUGUGCUUACGAUAUCUUUUGUAGAUGGCCCGUCUUAGAUGCACUACACGUAAGUCGAUGAUCCCUUUC
rnacentral:lncRNA from 1 species